AUAUGCCAUGUGAAGACGCAGGGAGAAUGUGACAUCUGCAAGCCAAGGAGAGAGGCUGCAGGAGAAACCAGCUCUGCUGACACUUUGAUCUCAAGCUCUGGCCACCAGAACUGUGAGCAAAUAAGUGUCUGUUGUUUAGGGCACCCUGUCCAUGGCACCUUGCUCCGAUAGCCCCAGGAAACGAAUCCACAGAGGAGGAAGCCGAGGUUGGGAAAGGUGGAGGGACUUGCCCAAGUCACACAAACGACAACUCAGCAGAGCUGAGAAUUGGCACCCAGGGCAACUGGAGUCCAUCCUGAGCUUGUCACUGCUGGGCUCUGAGACCUCCUGGUGAAGAAGGACAGUGGCAGAGACAGCCCGACCCAGAGAAACCCAGCAACGCUACUUUCUAAGGGCAUUUUUCCCUCUCAUUUGGAAUCCUGAGCCUCCUGCUCGUCCUGUAGGCCACACCCAGCAAACAGAGCUGGCUGGGAACUGGGAGAAGAGCUGGAGCAACAGCCUGCAUCCAUUUCCUCUUGCUGCAAUAACAACUGAUCACAAGAUGGAGUCUCACUCUGUCAACCAGGCUGGAGUGCACUGGCGCAAUCUCGGCUCACUGCAGUCACCUCCUCUCAGGUUCAAGUGAUUCUCCUGCCUCUGCCUCCUGAGUAGCUGGGAUUACAGAAUGUGAGCAUGGAGUCUGGAGCAGGAGCAGCUGUUGUGCACUGUGAGGUUGAAGCCGUGUGUUGAGAAUAGCAGAGCAACAAAGCAAUAGGAGCUGGAGCCCCUAGGGGCCAUGAAGCCCCUACCAGCCCUGGACUGCUUAGAUUUACUUGAGCAAGAAAUAAACCCUUGAUUGUUUAAA
rnacentral:lncRNA from 1 species